UCUCAAUGCCAAAAAUUCUCUCAAUUCUCUAGUCUUCAGAAUUCAGUGUCUUCAACAAAGAGGAGGAGAAGAAGAAGUCGUGAGCCUCCCUUGCCACCAUCCUUCCACCUUGGACCGUGAUAUUGAAGCCUUUCUUUCAAGAUUCAAGUUCAACUUCUCAAGCUCUUCAUCAUCCACUCCCUUCACGGUGUGUACUCUCAAUCUCCGGCUUGAAUGAUCCCUAUUUAUCAUAUACUAACGAUGAUAUUUUACGGGGUUAAAUUGUGUGCUACUUUUAGCAUGUCAUAAGACUUCAGAUUUGCAUUUUAUUUGUGACAAGAUUUCCGAUGAUUAUAUAGGAUUUGAGCUUGAGAGUGAUUUGAGAUAAAUGCUUUUCAUUGGAUUUUUGUUAUGAUUUAUGAAUGAUCGGGUUAUUGUUGAACUAUGGAUAUUAUGUUUAUUGAUGAAAUUAUUUUAUAUUUGUGGUGAUAAUAAUUGUUUCGGUUGGAUGUAUGAUGUUGUUCGAGACCGUAGAAGAAAAGGGAUGGACUAAUGGUCUUAGUUUGAGGCACCAGGAGAGAGGGGAUGAGAUAUCGACCAUUGUUGAAGUUCAAACACCAGUAGAGAGGUGAUGAAUUUGUGACCGACACUGUUAUUGAGAUUCCAAGACAGAAGGGAUGGACUAGUGGUCGAUAUUAUUGUAGUGGCACCAUGAGAGAAAGGAUGAACUGGUGGCCAAUUUGACUUUUGAUUUGAGAUAUGUUGUGACCCAAAUGUAUUUUAGUUAGAGUGUGAAAUGCGCAGAGAAUAUCGAGCAAGUUGCUAAUUCAGAAGAGAUCACUCGAUCACAGCAUAGUAGGCUGGCCCCAUCUGUGAAUGCUCAAACUACACCACUACUACAACAGAUACAGAACUUGGAAGAAAGGGAACGCCGAGUGGAGGCAGCACCACAAAACAUCAAGCCAAUGUCAGAUUUCACUACGUGUCUGGAGCUGUUCAAUCAGCGAAUUCUACAAUCAGUAGGCAUUCCCGCCCUGAAACCUCUAAAAAUAGCUCAAUAUUCAGGGAACUCAGACCGCUUCACCUAUUUACAGUAUUUUGAAUCCGCCAACUGGGUAUUCAGGACUCCAGUCAAUUGUUUAAGAUUUUUCAAGCGAAUGAUGAGUCCGUCCACUUAUAUGUGACUCGAUGGAGGAAAGCUGCUUCUCAGUGCAUGAACCGAGACAAGGGAGUGGCCACGAUAGCUUUCAAGCGAGGCAUACAGAAAAACAAAUUCUUAUACAACUUGAACGCGGAGAUAGUCACACUUACAUACGACGAGCUGAUGAAGAGGGCCAUAUUCCAUGCCAAUACUGAAUACAACACAUAAGGCAACAACCCUCCACCACCCCCUCGAGUCUCUCAAACUACACAACCCGCACCCAACCAUACUUUCCCUCAGCGAAACAACAGGAAGCACGAGUGGCCAAAGGACCACCAGCUAGACAAGCGUCCACGUAAUAGGUAGUAUCAUAACUCCUACUACUUCUGUGCAGCUUCUCCCUCAUCAAAAGUACAUGUUCCUGAUGAGGACCUUUCUUGAUCGAGGACUCCUUGGUCGGCCCAGUGAGAGGCCAGCUAAAAUGAUGAAACGCGUGUCCGUACAUGGACACCUUGCUUCAAUAGAAACUCCCCAAUCAAGAAAACCCUCUUACUUGGGGACUUGUUAGUAUGCCCACUUGCGGAGCGUAUAGUCUCAUGCUCGUGCGAAGACUUUUGGAAUCCCCACAUAGGAUGGAUAAUGACUCAAUAAAAAAAGAGCACGCGUUUGUACACAUUGGCUAGCGGAUGUCUCCAAGUCGAGUCAACUUGAUAGCUUGCUUGGACCCAAGCUAUCCUUGACACCUACAUAAAAGGGUCUCACUCCUAUUCUCGAGUUAUCGCACUACAACAAAACCCGGCUUUAAUGACCACCGUAAUGGUCAUUGAAAACAGACAAUUUGGUCACUGAAUAUCAUUAGUGACCAAAUAUUGUUAGUCACUAAGUGGUCAGUAUAGACUCGUCACUAAUUCUAUUUAGUGACCAAAGUAUGGUUGUUGGUCACUAAUAUGAAAGGACUAAUGAAAAGUAUUAAUGACUAA